rnacentral:rRNA from 1 species
CCUACGGGCGGCAGCAGUGAGGAAUAUUGGUCAAUGGGCGGGAGCCUGAACCAGCCAAGUCGCGUGAGGGAAGACGGUCCUAUGGAUUGUAAACCUCUUUAGGCGGGGAGCAAUGCCGGGCACGCGUGCCCGGAGGGAGAGUACCCGCAGAAUAAGCAUCGGCUAACUCCGUGCCAGCAGCCGCGGUAAUACGGAGGAUGCGACCGUUAUCCGGAUUUAUGGGGUUUAAAGGGUGCGUAGGCGGAUUUUUAAGUCAGCGGUAAAAUGUCCGGGCUCAACCCGGGCCGGCCGUUGAAACUGGGGAUCUUGAGUGGGCGAGAAGUAUGCGGAAGGCGUGGUGUAGCGGUGAAAUGCAUAGAUAUCACGCAGAACUCCGAUUGCGAAGGCAGCAUACCGGCGCCCGACUGACGCUGAGGCACGAAAGCGUGGGGAUCGAACAGGAUUAGAUACCCGUGUAGUC